UAAUUAUCAUGAAAAGGAGCCAGCCUGACAAGCUCUGGGUGUUUAAUUUCAGAAGGGAAGCAGCACAUGUGGUGAGGACAUCUCCUUCAUGUUGUACAUCUAAGCUACCUUAUGGCUGAACCCAUGGGGUAGGAAAGAGGAACGGUGAUCUUAAGAAACCAAUCCAUGAGAGGCAAUCGAGAAUAACAGCUCUUAAUGAAAAACAAAAGCUGGCGGUACGGAGCUGCUCCGCCGCGGUGCUGGUGGGGACAGCAGGCGCUGGCAGCAGUACCGGCAACACCACCACCACUACUACCAACAGCGGCGGCUGUGCCGGGAGCAGCAGCACAGGCGGCGGCGGCGGU
rnacentral:lncRNA from 1 species